UUGCCCACUUUUAGACUGUUCUUCAAGUGGCCAUCACAGAGGGGCAUAUUAAAUGCUCUAUAAAACUCAUGUAAGGUGUGUGUCUUUACUUUGAAUCCUGUCUGGAGCAAUAACA